CGUGACGCUGACAGAGAUCAUGCCAGAAGAGUUUUCGUCUUGAAAUAACCGCGAUUUUUAGCAUUUUAAAGAAAUUUAAGGCAGUAUUUAUCAGUAUUAAGUGUUUGUAUAUAACUUGUAGAAUCAACAUGUUAAGAAUUUUGGCGAGUAGCGUGCAAAGGGAAGGUGCAAAAGCCCUGACUUUGUCGGGACUUUCCAGAGCCAGUGGCAGUGCAGUGAAUACCCGGAGAAAUGUUUGCAGUGCAGCUGAAGAGGAAGAUCCCAACUUCUUUGACAUGGUGGAGGAGUACUUUGACAGGGGAGCAGCCCUGGUCGAAGACACGCUGGUGGACAACAUGAAAGGCAGCAUGUCCAAAGACCAGAAGAGGCUCAAGGUCCAAGGCAUCCUGAAGCUGAUGAAACCCUGUAACAAUGUGCUGAGUCUGAACUUCCCGCUGCGGCGUGACGACGGCCGAUUUGAGAUGAUCGAAGCCUACCGAGCCCAGCACAGCCAGCACCGAACGCCGUGCAAAGGAGGUAUCCGCUACAGCUCAGACGUGAACGCAGAUGAGGUAAAGGCCCUGGCCUCCCUGAUGACCUACAAGUGCGCGGUGGUGGACGUCCCCUUCGGUGGGGCCAAGGGAGGCAUCAAGGUCGACCCCAAGCAGUACUCGGAGCGGGAGCUGGAGAAGAUCACCCGGCGCUUCUGCGUGGAGCUGGCCAAGAAGGGAUUCAUCGGGCCUGGUGUUGACGUUCCGGCCCCGGACAUGGGCACCGGUGAGCGCGAGAUGAGCUGGAUAGCCGACACCUACGCCAUGACUGUUGGUUACCAAGACAUCAACGCCCAUGCUUGCAUCACAGGCAAGCCUAUCACGCAGGGCGGCAUCCACGGACGUAUCUCAGCCACCGGCCGUGGCAUCUACCACGGCAUCGAAAACUUUGUCAAUGAAGCCUCCUACAUGAGCACUGUGGGGCUGACGCCUGGCUUUGGUGAUAAGACAUUCAUAAUUCAGGGUUUUGGUAAUGUGGGUCUACACACGAUGCGUUACCUUCACCGAUUCGGUGCUCGCUGCAUUGGAAUUAUGGAGAUAGAUGGCAGCAUUUAUAACUACAACGGGAUUGACCCGAAAGACCUUGAAGACUACAAGCUGCAACACGGAACCGUCGUUGGCUUCCCAGAUGCCGAGCCCUUCGAUGGCGAUCUCCUGGUGGAGCAGUGCGACAUCUUGGUACCUUGUGCCGGAGAGAAGCAGAUCACGUCCAGGAACGCUCCCCACAUUAAAGCACGGAUUAUUGCCGAAGGUGCCAACGGACCCACCACUCCAGCUGCCGACAAGAUCCUUCAGGAGAGGAACAUCAUGGUUAUUCCUGACCUGUACAUCAACGCUGGUGGUGUGACCGUCUCGUAUUUCGAGUGGCUUAAAAACCUGAACCACGUCAGCUACGGCCGCCUCACCUUCAAAUAUGAGAGGGACUCCAAUCAGUUCCUGCUUGAGAGCGUACAAGAAAGCCUGGAGAGGAAAUUCGGCAAGCACGGCGGUCGCAUCCCCAUCGUUCCGUCUGAGAAGUUCUCGGAUCGCAUCUCGGGCGCCAGCGAGAAGGACAUUGUGCAUAGUGGCCUGGCUUACACCAUGGAACGCUCUGCCCGGCAAAUCAUGCGACUCGCCAUGCGCCACAAUUUACAAUUGGACAUCCGUACCGCUGCCUACGCAUCGGCUGUCAGCAAGAUCUUUAAUACGUAUCGCGAUGCCGGCCUUACAUUUUAACCCAUAUCCUCGCCCCUGAUGUACGGUAGACGGGCCAACCACACAGCAACUCAAAUCAUGCGCACGGCCAUGAAGUUCAACCUGGGCCUGGACCUCCGCACGGCCGCCUACCUCAACUCCAUUCAGAAGAUCUUCCUGACU
rnacentral:misc_RNA from 1 species